GGGCGUGUGGUCUAGUGGUAUGAUUCUCGCUUUGGGUAAUUUAACUCGAAUAUGUGAGAGGCCCUGGGUUCAAUUCCCAGUAUGCCCC
rfam:Kazachstania saulgeensis genome assembly, contig: scaffold_08